AACCAGGUAGCAUUCCUCAUCGACGUCGGCUCGGCAUGACCCAAUCCAGUGGGACUCAAUCACAACCGAGGCGACCGUCGUUCGCACGUAGCGCAGAACGCUUUUCUUCGUGGGGCAAAAUAGAGGCCGAGGCCUCGUGCCCACCCGAUGUUCCGCAUCCGAGAGAUCGAACAUUACGCCGUGGGCCCGCAACACGAGCGCCGUUAUACCAGCGCGCGAGGGGGGAACACGGCGUUUGCUCUGGGUUCCACCUCGCCCCACAACACCGAACGGUGUAGCGGCACAGGGCGGAAAAUUGACAAUCUUGCCGGCGAAAUGCCUUCGCGAUAGGUAUUGAACACAGGAAGCCGACAUCGGACAAGGCGAAGGCGCGCUUGUGCCAACGAUUGAAGAGGCGCGGUUGGGAUGUCG
rnacentral:misc_RNA from 1 species